rnacentral:lncRNA from 1 species
CAUAGCUUCGAGGUGAGACGUCUGAAAAAAUCGAUGAAAACCACGCCAAAAUCGUUUGUUUUCUGCAAAAAUCAAAUAAAUAAAUUCUACAGAAAUUGCGACGAGACCAUAAUGGACAUUUUGUUAAAUUUUGGGCCAAAUUGGAAGAGGAACGAUGAAGAAAUGAUAGAGAAAUUUCAAAGUUAAAUCAUGGUGGUCAAAGACAAGAUGGCGGACGUCUUCUUCUCCAAUCAAGAAAAUGAAAGGAAACUGCUUCAAUGGUGUUGAGAGUCAACAAUAUGUUAUAUGUGUUACCCUGUAAGUUAUUAUAUAACUACUCUUAAUGUAUAAAGCUAUUAUGUUUUACUUAUUUUACUUUUUAAUAACUCAUUUAAUAUUUUAUCCUAUUUUUCUUUAAAAAUGUUACCUAAAAAUUCUUUCGUUGCAUACAUUUCAAUACCACAACAGCAUGAUUAUUAUCAAAUGAUACAGUAGUGUUCCAUUUCACAUUUUCUCCUAAAUAUAGAUCUGUUAGAUAAAUAAUUCUCCCCCCCCCCCCCUGCAAUUAUAUCACAGGUCCCCCUCCCCCCUUCUGCAAAACACAACCUUAACUGUAAAAUGUUGCUAUUUAAUUUAAUAUAUGUAAAAAUUAAUCAGCUAUUUUUUAAUUUCCUGUAGUGAAUCUAUCAAAGGCAAAGCCAAGAUAAACCGUGGCUAAAGAAACUUAACAGCAGAAGAUGGUGAGUUGUUUUUUUUCUCUGGUAAAUUAAUUUACGCGAUACAUUGCAUCUGAAUUUAGAAGUUGAUGGAUGAAAAUUAAGCCAAAUUAACGCCUCCCAAAACUUUUGUUGCCAUGGUGACCAUGAUGUUUUUAUAUGGCCACUUUUCUCUGGUUUUAAACAAAUUCAAAAAAAGAACGGUGACCACAUUUUUUAUUUUGUUAAUUGUUUGAUUAGUGAAAAUAAAGUAUAGCUUUUUAAAAUUUAAAACAAUGUGUUUUUGCGAUAACAAAAUUCUAGACUGGUGACCUUUUUAAUUAAAAAGAUGGCUAAUCAAUUAUUUUCAGUAAUUGUUCAAAUUGAGGUCACUGUUGUUUUUUAACUUAAAUUUAGUUCAAAAGCAAAAACAUCAACCAUACUGACACAGAAUAAAGACAUACAGAAGUGUAACUUCCAUUACAAAACCGUAAGGCCUUUUUUACCGAAAUAGCUGGCGGCCAUGUUCUUAGCAAGUGCCCUAAAGAGAGGCAUUCACCCCCUGGAAUAUUAAAUUUUCAAUAUGUUUUCAGGGGGUGACUGCCUCUCUUUAGGGCACUUGCUAAGAACAUGGCGGACUGAAAAAAUCCCUUACGCACUUUUAAUAAGAAGAUACACCUCUGUAUGUCUUUAUUCUGUGAUACUGAAACGUCAUGGUUACCAUAGCAACGACAAUGACAUUUUUGGUAUAAAUUUUAUUCAGAUACCAGCGUAGAUAACCCAGCAAAUAUAUGUAUUCACUCAAAACGCGGUAAAAACAUUUAAAAAUGCUUUAACUUUGCUACCUAGAGCUUUAUUGUGUAGCUCAUUAUGUAUGCAGACGUGCAUGGUUACGUCACAGAAUACUACACAGAAGUCCAUCUCCAUUGCUUUUUGCAUAAGCUCUAUUCGUCAUGAUUCGUCACUCAGCAAGUACCAUAAACAGAAGCAGUCCCCCCCUGGAAACACUAAAAAUGGCGCACAUCCAGGGGGUGACUGCUUCUGUUUACGGUACUUGCUGAGUGACGAAUCAUGACGAAUAGAGCUUAUGCAAAAAGCAAUGGAGAUGGACUUCUGUGUUAGUAUUCUGUGGUUAUGUCAUUGUAUUGUCAGAUUAUAAUGUCUUAUUGGAUUCUUCUGGGCCCAAUCACUGAACUAUAUAAUAUGUAUGUAUGUAACUAUGUAUAUAGUUCACUAGAUAGAAAACUUUAUGUAAACAUGCUGACCCUGUCAACCGAAGCUGAUUUCCACAAGGGGCGUGCGAAAAAAUAUACAGAUAGAUACCCAGGUGUAUUAGCCUAAUAUUUAACAAAUAUAAAACAUUUUCCGUGUUGAUAUACAGUUAUAUUCAACAUGAGUGGAAAUUGGGAAAACAAGAAAUUGUGUGGAAACACGAUGCCCGAAGUGUUUUCACAGAAAUAUUUUGAGUUUUCCCAAUUUCCACGAGUGUUGAUUAUAUAUAUAUAUAUAUAUAUAUCUAUCUAUCAAUAUGGAAAAAAUGUUUUAUAGUUGUUUUAUAAAUUAUAGCACAAAGAAAUUAAAGAAAGAAAUUUUCCAACGUUUCCGUGUUGACAUUGAGUUAUAUCAACACGGCUCUUAGCCAAUCAGCGUUCAGAAUUUACAAACGCUAUAUUUAUAUAAUUAACAAUAUUGAAGUCGAUAUAAAUAUUUUGCCAUAUUGGAUGAAAAUGAAUCCAAUAAGAGUUUUAAUAUAUCGAACAAAACAAUUCUAUAACAAAAAAUUGUCAAUAUAAAGCGAUAAAGUAUUUAAAUACAGCGACAAUAUAAAUACAGCGACAAAAUUUAAUACUACAUAAUUAUAUCGGCGGCGAAUUUGCUUAAAUAACUAAACAAAAAGUUAAUAAACUUGUUUUUACAAAUAUGUGUGCAUAAAUAAACUCAAUUCCAUGAAAUUUGACCUAAUUUUGACGAAAAAAUAAUAUUACUAACCUCGAGGCUGUUGCAAACAAAAUAUGAAUUUCGCGAGGACAAGUUUUCCCGCGCUUUUAUAAUUUUGAACAAAACUGGUAGAAAAAACUGUGUUAAAGUCCCAAAUUAUUUUCAUUACUCUGUCAUAUCGCUUGUCGUGUGUUUGAAAUUGACAAAACAUCUGAAAAGGGUUGAAAAAACAUGAAAAAAGCCACGAUUCUGAGAAUCUCGUUUCGCAAAUGUUCCUGUCCAUUGUCCAAUAUCGUAAAAUGUUGGCCUGGCACGUGACCCUAAUUAAACACUCGUGAUUGGUCGACAAACGUCAUCAUCGGAAAAACCAUCGGCUUAUUUCUUAUUGGCUGCCGAACAAUCGGAAAAUUCCGAAUAUAAUAUACUGUAUAUAUAAAUACUUUAUAAAUAACUUAUGCGCAUUUUUAAUGUUUUUAACGCAUUUUAAGUAAAUACAUAUAUUUGUGGGGUUCCUGUGAUACUAGUUUGCUUUUCAACAAGUAACAAUUGUUCUCCACAUUGUAAAAUUUCCUCUUGCCAUUUCUUUUUAAUUUUUUUCCUAACAUUUUCAUUGCAUAUUUUUUGGUAGAGUGAUAUGAAGACAACAACUGGACGACACAAUUAAAGCGAGAGCAAAGAGGAACAAGCAGAUAAGAAAGUGGUAGAAGACGUCGACAGAAUGACGACCAAAAGAAGCCACAACUAUCCAAAGAUGAUAGCAAAUGUACGGUUUGUCACUGUUAUUUAUGUUCUACACAAUUAAGUCAAAUUUAGCGUUCAAAUCCAUUUGCAAGUCCCAUCAUUGCGCUUGUUAACAGAAUUUUUUUCUCAUUUUUUAUGGUGGUUGACCGUAAAUUGAGCGGAGCACGCAUGAUCAUCAACUACAGAAAUGAAAAACCGCGGACCAACAAAACAGAAGCAACGACGAUGUAAAGAUACAGUGAAUGUAAGUUUUGCUGGUGCAUGCUUAUGCAAUAAUAUAAAUAUUUUUAAAUACUCGUGUUGAUUGCUACACCCUAUAUUAUUCUUACUCAGUCGUAGCGGACACUUCGCCAAAUAUUGGGGUGGGGGAAUUUGAUUGCCAACAUCAUAUGACCACCUUCUGUAGCUGGCAAUCUCAAUUAAUGUAAUCUUCUUUUCCUUAAAUCAUGCAAUAUAUAGCUUGAUUGAAAAAUUCAUAUGCAUGGUUAUAAAAAAUAUUGUUACAGCUUUGUUAGCUGGGUGACCACCCGCGCCUCCCGGUGUGUGGACACCGCUGUUACUCAGUUCUUCCUUUAUUUCUGUGUGAUUUGCUACACCCCGACUUUUAUUUUUACUUUUGAAAUUUUAGCGUUCCUAUCUUAUCUUAAGUAUAUUGAGUAAACGUUUCUAUAACAUAUGUAGUGAAAUGUUCAAUCUAUUUUGUUACUGAUGGGAAAUAUCCUUUCAUUUCAGAUGAAGACCUACAACCAACAGAUCCUACAACAUCGCCAAGAUGAGAGCAACACAAGUUUUAUCAAGGUAAGAGAGAAGCAAAAAUCAUUCCAGCGAUUUUUAGUCGUUUCUUAUUAAAAACCGAAACAAAUUAAUGGAUAAAAACAUACACUCGCGAGUUUUUCCACGUAGACUUCAAAUUGCACUUUUGAUCUUUUGAUUUGUAUAACACAUUCGUGCGCAACCGUACAAAUGCCUAUACCAACAACUAUAAUUCCAGUUGUGUCGAUAUUUAAGUAUCAUGCACUAUCAUUAUUUCGCUUUGUUUCAACAGGUAGGAAUUUUGUCCGCCGCUGGUCAAUAAUUUUUGGCGCAUUUGAAAAAAUAUUUUAAAAGUUUUCGAGUUCUUUUCUGGCCGUUGCUGCUUAACAGCAGAUUUGCCAAAAUAUAAAUUUGUUUUCGCAAAAAUGUACUGGACCUUUCUUCGCUCACCAUAGUCAAGUAUUUUUGAUAGGUAAAUUCGCGAAUUUCCAUUUUUUAUGGGAAAAUUCGCGAUUUUCCGUCGGAAACUUUCCCUCCUUCCCAACGAAGCAGUAAAUAACAAUAUUUUUCAGUAGAAAAAACUAGGCCAAAAAACAAAUAAAACGCUCAGAACUCAAUGUAAUACCUUACUUGUAUUUAAAUUCGCGCAGUGCUAGAAUUCGCGCAGCGCUGGGUGCGCGAAUUUUAGUACUGCGGGAAAUAUAAUCCGCGCGAAAAGCUUUGUGGUGUAAUACGAGACACUCGUUGUUAGUAAUGAAGAUCAGUUUAGUUAUUAACUGAUUUGCAUUACUAUUUGCAUCAUGUUGUUGUAUCAGGCAAAUGAGAACCAUACAAUAAAUUUUUAAGUUCUUGUUGGUAUUUUGAACACACGCUUUAUUAAUUGUUAUCAUGAAUUUUGCUUACAUUACAUAAUUUUGAAGCCAUUUUUCGGAGGUCACCUAAUCGCUUUUUGAUCAAGUUUUAACAAAUAUUGAAGUAUUUGUUGAUAAAAAAUACUGAUUAUAAAUACGUUAAUUGUUGAUAGUUCUAUUAAAUGAAACAAAAAGAACGAACUCGAAAAAUUACUUGCGCGAAUUUAAAGCAGAACGAAAAUGAGUACGACGCGAAUUUUAAUACAAGUAAGGUAUUUACCUUCCCCAGAUCUCCUAUCUCUUCACCGCGCUAGCUUUGACGCGUGCGCAAACAAAAUUCCUACCUUUCUAUCGUUUCAACAAGAAGCCCACCGCCGUGAACCCCCCCCCCCCUGGAUAUUGCCCUCCAACAUAGUUGCGGUGACGUCACAUGUCUAUUUUUAAUUUCGGUGGUUUAUCACAUGAGAAGACUGAGACCCACGUGCCUUGGGGGCUGGGCGGAAAAAUGCUAGCCCAAAAUGGAUCAAAACCUGCCGAGUGAAGGGCCUGGGUCUAGGUUAUCAUCGACAUCAUUAAUUAUAUACAUGAAUAAUAUUAAUUCAUUUAAUUGAUCAUUUGAAACAUGAAAUACCACGCAAUUCAAAAUUGUAAUUAUGGGAUAAUUAAUGCCGUUGAUUUGGCGCCGAAGCCUAAAAUAUUGACGGCAAUUUUUUGUCUGCGAUAAUUUGGUAAAAUUGUGAGGACUAUUUCAUGGACUCAAGCCACUAUUUUAUGGACUCAUGGAUACUUUUCUAAUUUCAAAAGGUGAUAUGAUGAACUGUUGACGUGAUGAAAAGAGAUGAUGAAAAGACCAAAAAGAACCACUCACGAAUGGCAUGGAGCCAAGAAAAGAAUGACGAUUCGCACCAAUCAGAACCCACAACAUUGCUAAUAUGAAAAUAGCGAAAAGUUUUACCAAUGUAAGUUAGUUAAAGACAAAAUACUUAUUUAAAGAUCAAAGGGGAUUCAAGUGAAUACAAUGAUUUUCUUAUUGAAAUUAACUAUGCUACGAGUUUGCCAAAUUUUUCGACUUUGUUUUCCAAUUUACGGAGUAUAGAAAUAAUUGCC